AGUGAACGCUGGCGGUAGGCCUAACACAUGCAAGUCGAACGGCAGCACAGUAAGAGCCUGCUCUUACGGGUGGCGAGUGGCGGACGGGUGAGGAAUACAUCGGAAUCUACUUUUUCGUGGGGGAUAACGUAGGGAAACUUACGCUAAUACCGCAUACGACCUACGGGUGAAAGCAGGGGAUCUUCGGACCUUGCGCGAUUGAAUGAGCCGAUGUCGGAUUAGCUAGUUGGCGGGGUAAAGGCCCACCAAGGCGACGACCCGUAGCUGGUCUGAGAGGAUGAUCAGCCACACUGGAACUGAGACACGGUCCAGACUCCUACGGGAGGCAGCAGUGGGGAAUAUUGGACAAUGGGCGCAAGCCUGAUCCAGCCAUACCGCGUGGGUGAAGAAGGCCUUCGGGUUGUAAAGCCCUUUUGUUGGGAAAGAAAAGCAGCAGGUUAAUACCCCGCUGUUCUGACGGUACCCAAAGAAUAAGCACCGGCUAACUUCGUG
rnacentral:rRNA from 1 species